rnacentral:tRNA from 1 species
CCUUUAGCUCAGUUGGCAGAGCAUCGGACUUUUAAUCUGUGGGUUGGGGGUUCGAUUCCCCCUGGG